GUGCUCGCUUCGGCAGCACAUACACCAAAAUUGGAACGAUACAGAGAAGAUUAGCAUGGCCCCUGCACAAGGGUGACACGCAAAUUCGUGAAGCGUUCCAUAUUUUU
rnacentral:snRNA from 1 species